GGUAUAGCUCAAGUGGUAGAGUGUAUGCUUAGCAUGCACAAGGUCCUGGGUUCAAUCCCCAGUACC
rnacentral:tRNA from 1 species